GAGGUAUCCGAAUGAUCCAAAGGAAGGAGUCUUCUUCAACCAUUUAGAGCCUUCGACGUGAGCUAGCACUCAUGUGAAGGAUGAUCUAUUCAAGGCUUCGAGUGGACUACCUAUAGAGGCCGGACGAUCUGUGCGGUUGCUUGACAUCAGGAAGGGUCUCAUACCAUAUUCAUCAGUAGCAACGAUCAUUGAUCCAUGAUAAAGUAAUGAGUUCUAAACUCAUCUAAUCAGAUCUAACAG
rnacentral:lncRNA from 1 species